rnacentral:tRNA from 1 species
GGAAGAGUGGCCGAGUUGGUUAUGGCGCCAGGUUAAGGUCAGCUUAACAUCUGUUUCCUGGUGGGGCAACCCGCGCGAGUUCGAGUCUCGUCCCUUUCA